GAUGAACGCUGGCGGCGUGCCUAAUACAUGCAAGUCGAGCGAACAGACGAGGGGCUUGCUCCUCUGACGUUAGCGGCGGACGGGUGAGUAACACGUGGAUAACCUACCUAUAAGACUGGGAUAACUUCGGGAAACCGGAGCUAAUACCGGAUAAUAUAUUGAACCGCAUGGUUCAAUAGUGAAAGACGGUUUUGCUGUCACUUAUAGAUGGAUCCGCGCCGCAUUAGCUAGUUGGUAAGGUAACGGCUUACCAAGGCAACGAUGCGUAGCCGACCUGAGAGGGUGAUCGGCCACACUGGAACUGAGCCACGGUCCAGACUCCUACGGGAGGCAGCAGUAGGGUAUCUUCCGCAAUGGGCGAAAGCCUGACGGAGCAACGCCGCGUGAGUGAUGAAGGUCUUCGGAUCGUAAAACUCUGUUAUUAGGGAAGAACAAAUGUGUAAGUAACUAUGCACGUCUUGACGGUACCUAAUCAGAAAGCCACGGCUAACUACGUG
rnacentral:rRNA from 1 species